AUGAACGCUGGCGGCGUGCCUAAUACAUGCAAGUCGAGCGAACGGACGAGAAGCUUGCUUCUCUGAUGUUAGCGUCGGACGGGUGAGUAACACGUGGAUAACCUACCUAUAAGACUGGGAUAACUUCGGGAAACCGGAGCUAAUACCGGAUAAUAUUUUGAACCGCAUGGUUCAAAAGUGAAAGACGGUCUUGCUGUCACUUAUAGAUGGAUCCGCGCUGCAUUAGCUAGUUGGUAAGGUAACGGCUUACCAAGGCAACGAUGCAUAGCCGACCUGAGAGGGUGAUCGGCAAAACUGGAACGGAGAAACGGUCAAGACUCCUACGGGAGGCAGAAGUAGGGAAUCUUCCGCAAUGGGCGAAAGCCUGACGGAGAAACGCCGCGUGAGUGAUGAAGGUCUUCGGAUCGUAAAACUCUGUUAUUAGGGAAGAACAGAUGUGUAAGUAACUGUGCACAUCUUGACGGUACCUAAUCAGAAAGCCACGGCUAACUACGUG
rnacentral:rRNA from 1 species